rnacentral:rRNA from 1 species
GAUGAACGCUAGCGGCAGGCUUAAUACAUGCAAGCCGAGGGGCAGCAGCUUUGUAGCAAUACAAGGGCUGGCGACCGGCAAACGGGUGCGGAACACGUACGCAACCUUCCUUUAACUGGGAGAUAGCCCACCGAAAGGUGGAUUAAUAUCCCAUAGUAUAUUUGAGUGGCAUCACUUAGAUAUUAACGCUCCGGCGGUUAAAGAUGGGCGUGCGCCUGAUGAGGUAGUUGGCGGGGUAACGGCCUAACAAGCCCACGAUCAGUAGCUGAUGUGAGAGCAUGAUCAGCCACACGGGCACUGAGACACGGGCCCGACUCCUACGGGAGGCAGCAGUAAGGAAUAUUGGUCAAUGGACGCAAGUCUGAACCAGCCAUGCCGCGUGGAGGAUGAAGGCCCUCUGGGUUGUAAACUUCUUUUCUUUGGGACGAAACCCCUGUUUCUACGGGGACUGACGGUACCAGAGGAAUAAGCACCGGCUAACUCCGUGCCAGCAGCCGCGGUAA